rnacentral:rRNA from 1 species
GACUACGGCCAUGCCACCCUGAACAAGUCUGAUCUCGGAAGCUACGCAGGGUUGGGCCUGGUUAGUACUUGGAUGGGAGACCACCUAGGAAGACCAGGUGCUGUAGGUA